rnacentral:rRNA from 1 species
AUACGUAGGGUGCAAGCGUUAUCCGGAAUUAUUGGGCGUAAAGAGCUCGUAGGCGGUUUGUCGCGUCUGCUGUGAAAUCCCGAGGCUCAACCUCGGGCCUGCAGUGGGUACGGGCAGACUAGAGUGCGGUAGGGGAGAUUGGAAUUCCUGGUGUAGCGGUGGAAUGCGCAGAUAUCAGGAGGAACACCGAUGGCGAAGGCAGAUCUCUGGGCCGUAACUGACGCUGAGGAGCGAAAGGGUGGGGAGCAAACAGGCUUAGAUACCCUGGUAGUCCACCCCGUAAACGUUGGGAACUAGUUGUGGGGUCCUUUCCACGGAUUCCGUGACGCAGCUAACGCAUUAAGUUCCCCGCCUGGGGAGUACGGCCGCAAGGCUAAA